AUUUCAAUUUGAAAUCUCAAACUCUAUCUCUCUCUCUUCUUCUUCUUUCUUCCUCUUCUUUAUAAACUCUAAUGAUACUGUCAAAGUUCUUUCAACAACAAACUUAGAUCCUUACUCGGUAACACCUCGCUAACGAAGUCCUAAUCGAAGCCGAUAAAGAAGUAUGGAAUCGGGAUUCGAGCGGGUAAGCAAAUGCUUUGGUUACUUCAAUAUAUGUUGCUGCUGAAACUCAAUAUUCUCAAGCAAACUGUAAAAGCUAAUUUGUAGUCGAACUAGAAUCUUCGGGCUAUAUUGAAGAUGAGGACCCUGCAACCAUGCUAGAACAUUGUACCUGAAUUUAUGCUCGAGCUAUAUAUUAUUGUCGCAAUUGGUGGUUCUAUUUUUUAUUUGAUUCAUCAAGCCUAAAAGUCUCAAACUUCAAAGAACCAGUGAGAUUAUAAAGGUUAUUGCAUGUCCACCAAAGGUUCUUUAAUCAUCAAUUAUGAAGGUCUCUUUAAUUAUGUGUAUUUAUGUUUCGCAGUUUGGGAUUAACUACAUAGAUUUGUUUCAUAAAUUGCAUGUGUUUAUUGUCGUAGCUUGAAAUUACAGAGUCACCAUCAUCAUUUAUUUGUUCCUGGAAAUAAUGAUAAAAUCUAUAGGUUAAGGAAAGAGACUAAUGUUCGGGAGUCGGUUAAGCAAGAGAAAGGUAUUAUGCACCACUCACCUCAAUUGUACUUAAUAGGAUCCUCCUCUAAUUCUAGGAUUAGUGUGUUUUCUAUGGCAUAUUCGCUUUUUCUAUUUAUUCUUGUUUAAUUUAUUUACUUACAAGGAAUUAUUUUGUUAUUAAAAGAAAAAAAUAUUGAUUAAUAAAGAAGGACAAAGAAAAAGUUUUUUAUUAUUGUACUCGUCAGACUGUUACAACUAUAUACCUACGCACCUUCAAGUUUGUUGAAGGAUCAGAGCACUGUAGUUCUUCUAAAAAAUAUUUGUUUGUUUGAUUUUAGAUCUUGAAAAGGGUCUCAACACAA